GUCCACGCCGUAAACGAUGGAUGCUAGCCGUUGGUAAGCAUGCUUAUCAGUGGCGCAGCUAACGCAUUAAGCAUCCCGCCUGGGGAGUACGGCCGCAAGGUUGAAACUCAAAGGAAUUGACGGGGGCCCGCACAAGCGGUGGAGCAUGUGGUUUAAUUCGACGCAACGCGCAGAACCUUACCAGGGUUUGACAUCCUGUGCUAAGCCCAGAGAUGGGUGGUCCCCGCAAGGGGCGCAGAGACAGGUGCUGCAUGGCUGUCGU
rnacentral:rRNA from 1 species